rnacentral:rRNA from 1 species
AGUGAACGCUGGCGGUAGGCCUAACACAUGCAAGUCGAACGGCAGCACAGUAAGAGCUUGCUCUUACGGGUGGCGAGUGGCGGACGGGUGAGGAAUACAUCGGAAUCUACUUUUUCGUGGGGGCUAACGUAGGGAAACUUACGCUAAUACCGCAUACGACCUACGGGUGAAAGCAGGGGAUCUUCGGACCUUGCGCGAUUGAAUGAGCCGAUGUCGGAUUAGCUAGUUGGCGGGGUAAAGGCCCACCAAGGCGACGAUCCGUAGCUGGUCUGAGAGGAUGAUCAGCCACACUGGAACUGAGACACGGUCCAGACUCCUACGGGAGGCAGCAGUGGGGAAUAUUGGACGAUGGGCGCAAGCCUGAUCCAGCCAUACCGCGUGGGUGAAGAAGGCCUUCGGGUUGUAAAGCCCUUUUGUUGGGAAAGAAAAGCAGCAGGUUAAUACCCCGCUGUUCUGACGGUACCCAAAGAAUAAGCACCGGCUAACUUCGUG